AACGCUGGCGGCGUGCCUAACACAUGCAAGUCGAACGGAAGUAAGGCUCCGGUUUUACUUUAGUGGCGAACGGGUGAGUAACGCGUGAGAAACCUGCCUUUCAGUGGGGGACAACAGUUGGAAACGACUGCUAAUACCGCAUAACACUUUAGUACCGCAUGGUACAGAAGUCAAAGAUUUAUUGCUGAAAGAUGGACAUGCGUUGUAUUAGCUAGAUGGUGAGGUAACGGCUCACCAUGGCGACGAUACAUAGGGGGACUGAGAGGUUAACCCCCCACACUGGUACUGAGACACGGACCAGACUCCUACGGGAGGCAGCAGUGAGGAAUAUUGCACAAUGGGCGAAAGCCUGAUGCAGCGACGCCGCGUGAGCGAAGAAGUAUUUCGGUAUGUAAAGCUCUAUCAGCAGGGAAGAAAAUGACGGUACCUGACUAAGAAGCCCCGGCUAACUACGUG
rnacentral:rRNA from 1 species